CUCCCCGCUCCCUAGUUAUUCCCUCGGGUCUCCAUCCUCCCUGCAACCCCAGCCAAAUCCGUGAGGAGGGGGUGUUCCUCCCCAGAGAUCACAGUGCACAGGCAUCCUGCCAGGCUGAAGAGGGGUCAGCUCCUCUCACAAGAACAGGAAAUGCUAAGAGAAGGACCUCCCAUCUUUGCCCUCUUUCUCUGAGCUCUGGGCUCCGAGGCGUGGGCUGGCAGCAAAGGCAGAGAUCCAGCCUAAGUGUUGUGUGCUCAGAGUGGGGAGAGAGCCAGAGAGCCUUUCCCCAUUUACGGGAGCCUGGAGCCUUCCAGGCUGACCAGGGGAGCUCAGCAAUAAUUCAGGGGCUCCAGCUUGUUGGAAUCUAUUGCCAGGAAACAAGGAGGCAGGCACGUGCAUCCCUGGGGAGAGGAAUCAGUUUCCUGCCCUAACACAGCAGUGAAAUGUAAGCCCAGGGCGCCGACUGGGGGCCUUGGGACCCUCCCACUCCAGUUCACAGAGACUCCGUGGGGACAUAGGGUGGGGCCCUGCUGAGGGCAAGCUGGUAUGGCUCCAGUCACAAGGACUUUGUAAAUGGACUUUGUGAAUAGAAGAGGAUUUUUCUGGAGCCAUUCCAAGAGAUCAACUUCAAGUACUCCUAGGCCCAGGAAGGAGACCUCUGUGGAAAGAGAUGUCUUUGUUAUUUUUGGCUAAUGUGACAAGGGGCUGAGGCAGCAGAAGCCUGUUCUGCCCCACCCACACCCCAGAUUCCUCUGGAUCAGGUUCACUUGCAGGGCACUGUGCCAGCUGGGGAGGCUGGUACAUCUUUAAUGAAGUCACCCGAUCCUGGAACAAGCUCUUGGCCUCACCAAGUUCCUGGCGCCAGACCACUGGGUGCCCACUGAGCCACUGCCUUCCCAUGCCUGUGUGCCAGGCCCGUUUCCCCUGCAGCCAUGAACCAGGCCUUCUGGAAAACUUACAAGUCCAAAGUGCUACAGACCCUGAGUGGGGAAUCUGAGGAGGACCUGGCAGAGGAGAGGGAGAACCCAGCGUUAGUGGAGUCUGAGACAGCAGGACCCACUGAAGAGGCCUUCAGUCCCAUGUCACAGCUGGCUCGCCGGGUUCAGGGCGUCGGGGUGAAAGGUUGGUUGACAAUGUCAUCUCUGUUUAACAAAGAAGAUGAGGACAAACUGCUGCCACCGGAGCCCUGUGCUGACCAGUAUGUGUGUGUUGGGGGGAGGGUUCUGGGAUGGGCCUGGGUCCUCCUUCUCCCAUGUCCUUCCCAUCUGGUCUAUUUGUCUGUCUGUCUGACCACGGUGGGUUGGGGAGGGCCAGCCUCUGGCUGUUUCUGUUUCUCUUAGCAGGAAAGAGGCCAAAUCAGCAUAUCUGGGAGAUUAGGUUAGAUCUCAGGAGGAAUUUACCAGCUGUUGGGAUUGAGGUGCUAGAAGGUAUUAUGGACUCUCUCCCUCCAUCCACGAGGGAGGGGUCAUCUCCUUAGAAUCAGGGAACCAGGGAACCAAGAGGAGAACUUUUAGGUGUCUGGAACAGAGGGUAGUCCAGAUCAGUGGUUCCCAAAUAUUGGUUUAAAUCCUCAUCCUCCCAGGGAGCUUGUGACAAACACAGAUUUCCAGACUCUCCUUCAAAGCUUCUGAUUCAGCAGGUGUGGGUGAGACCUGGGAUCCACAUUUUCAGCAAAUGCUCUGAAGACCCAAGGCACACUAGUGUAGGAACCACUGUCUUAGAAGGUCUUUGAUGCUGGGGGAUUAGGGGGUGGGACCCAGGGCCUCAGUCUUCCUCCUAACUCAAAAUCUCUGGCGCACACUCCAUCUCUGCCCUUUCCUCCAGCCCAGUUACAUCCCGCUUUUGACACGCCCCUAUUCCUUUCUCCCCGAGGG